AUACUUACCUGGCAGGGGAGAUACCAUGAUCACGAAGGUGGUUUUCUCAGGGUGAGGCUUAUCCAUUGCAUUCUGGAUGUGCUGACCCCUAUGAUUUCCCCAAAUGUGGGAAACUUGACUACAUAAUUCGUGGUAGCGGGGAACUGUGUUUGCGCUCUCCCCUA
rnacentral:snRNA from 1 species